GAUGAACGCUAGCGGCAGGCUUAAUACAUGCAAGUCGUGGGGCAGCAGGUUUGUAGCAAUACAGAUGCUGGCGACCGGCAAACGGGUGCGGAACACGUACAGAACCUUCCUUUGAGCGGGGAAUAGCCCAGAGAAAUUUGGAUUAAUACCCCAUAGUAUAAUGAAGUGGCAUCACUUUAUUAUUAAAGAUUUAUCACUCGAAGAUGGCUGUGCGGCUGAUUAGGUAGUUGGCGGGGUAAAGGCCCACCAAGCCUGCGAUCAGUAACUGGUGUGAGAGCACGACCAGUCACACGGGCACUGAGACACGGGCCCGACUCCUACGGGAGGCAGCAGUAAGGAAUAUUGGUCAUUGGAGGCAGCUCUGAACCAGCCAUGCCGCGUGGAGGAUGAAGGUCCUCUGGAUUGUAAACUUCUUUAUAUGGGACGAAAAAAGGCUUUUCUAAGUCGUCUGACGGUACCAUAUGAAUAAGCACCGGCUAACUCCGUGCCAGCAGCCG
rnacentral:rRNA from 1 species